CAAUCGAACCCGGAGAUAGCUGGUUCUCCUCGAAAUAGCUUUAGGGCUAGCCUCGCAUUAGUUUACCGGAGGUAGAGCACUGAAUGGUCUAGGGGGCCUCACCGCCUACCGAAACCUAUCAAACUGCGAAUGCCGGAUAAAUGAUGUGCGGGAGUCAGGCCGCGAGAGAUAAGUUCCGCGGUCAAAAGGGGAACACCCCAGAUCGUCUGCUAAGGUCCCCAAGUACGCGUUAAGUGGGAAAGGAUGUUGGAUUGCACAGACAACCAGGAUGUUGGCUUAGAAGCAGCCACACAUUCAAAGAGUGCGUAAUAGCUCACUGGUCGAGUGAUCCAGCGCCGAAAAUGUAACGGGGCUAAAACGCGACACCGAAGCAGCGGGAUGCGUAAGCAUCGGUAGAGGAGCAUUGUGUGAGGAUAGAAGCCAGAGCGGGAGCACUGGUGGACUUCACAGAAGAGAGAAUGCCGGUAUGAGUAGCGAGACCCAUGCGAGAAACAUGGGCGUCGAAGGCCCAAGGUUUCCUGGGGAAGGUUCAUCCACCCAGGGUAAGUCGGGACCUAAGCCGAGGACUGAGGUCGUAGGCGAUGGACAGCAGGUAGAGAUUCCUGCACCACUUACACUUGUUUGACGAAGCAGUGACACAGAAGGAUAGGACGAGCGCGGUGAUGGUCAACCGCGUAGGCGACACAAGGCUGGGGAGCAGUAAAGUACACUUCCCGUGAAGGCUGAGUGCUGACAGGACCGAAAAAGAGUAGGGAAGCGUCUGAGUUCACGCUGGCGAGAAAAGCUGCUAAGGAGAGUGUGAGUGCCCGUACCGGAAACCGACGCAGGUGGGCGAGGAGAGAAUCCUGAGACGGACGGGAGAACUCUUGUUAAGGAACUCGGCAAAAUGACCCCGUAACUUCGGGAGAAGGGGUGCCUCGAAAGAGGCCGCAGAGAAUAGUCACAAGCGACUGUUUAGCAAAAACACAGGUAUCUGCGAAAGCGAGAGCUGACGUAUAGGUGCUGACGCCUGCCCGGUGCUGGAAGGUUAAGGGGAAGUGUUAGGGGAAACCCGAAGCAGAGAACCGAAGCCCCAGUAAACGGCGGCCGUAACUAUAACGGUCCUAAGGUAGCGAAAUUCCUUGUCGGGUAAGUUCCGACCCGCACGAAUGGCGUAACGACUUGUGAGCUGUCUCAACAGGAGGCCCGGUGAAAUUGAAGUAUGUGUGAAGAUGCACAUUACCCGCGACUGGACGGAAAGACCCCGUAGAGCUUUACUGUAGCCUGAUAUUGGAUUUCGGUAACGGAUGCACAGGAUAGGUGGGAGGCAAGGAAGGCAGGACUCCGGUCUUGGUGGAGCCACCGUUGGGAUACCACUCUUCUGUUGCUGGAAUUCUAACAUGGCGCCGUGAAACCGGUGAAUGGACAGUGUCAGGUGGGCAGUUUGACUGGGGCGGUCGCCUCCGAAAGAGUAACGGAGGCGCCCAAAGGUACCCUCAGAAUGGAUGGAAACCAUUCGAAGAGAGCAAAGUCAGAAGGGUGCUUGACUGCGAGACCAACAAGUCGAGCAGGUACGAAAGUAGGGCUUAGUGAUCCGGCGGUAAGAGAGUGGAAUUGCCGUCGCUCAACGGAUAAAAGCUACCUCGGGGAUAACAGGCUGAUCUCCCCCAAGAGU
rnacentral:rRNA from 1 species